GCUGAUUGCCAGGACCCCCGUGGGGCUGGGAUCAUGGCAGGGGGUUGUAAGCAAGGAAUGCCUGGCUUCUUAAAGUCACCAGCUGAGUCUUAGAGGCUUCUUUGAAGAGCUGAGUCCAGGCAGCAAAAUUGCCCCCCGCAGGAGGGACUCUGUGCCUGCUCUCCCGUGGCUCCAAGGGAUCUCUGGCCCUUCACGCCGGCACCGAGAUUUUCUCGGGAAGGGCCUCAGAUCCCCGGUCCAGUCUGGGACACAGGCAAGAUCCCCCUGCCUUUAGAAAUGAGGCCUUCUUGUGGCUUCCUCCCCGUACCCGUCGGUGGGUUCCAAAGAAGGCCUCUGGAAAUGCCUUUUGGGCUGUCCAUUGAAGCCUUGGGACCAAAUUGGGCCCCUGGAGGGACAGUGCUGUUGGUGCCCCCCGGGUUGGGGCACCCCGAGGACUCCAGCGCGCACCGAAAGGAUUAUUUGGGGAGAUCCUCGGGGUGCCCGGCCCUGGGGAGCUCAAAGCAAGGUCCCUGCCAUGGAUUCAGGCAUUGCUGAGAGUAUCCCAGGGGUCCCUGUCCAUGCUAGACAUGGAGCUCUCUAAUGGGCUGGAAUUGGGUUCUAAAAGUGGUGCUCCAAGUGCCAAAGAAGUGUGGGAUUGGGAUUAAGAAAUGAGCAGUGAGGGUCCAAUUGGCUGUUUUCUCUGGAAUGUGACUGUGAGAGCUGCAGGAGUGCCAGGUGUGUGUUCCAGUCCCCAGCAUUUGGUUUGCACAUGUCCUGGUCAGACACAGGUCUAACUUGCUCAGUCCUUAACCCAAGAGAGGGAGAAUGAAGGACUGGCACUGUUCAGGUGAUUGGUGUGACAGGGGUUAAACUGGGAAAACAUUGGGUAAUUCUUGAGUUUGUCUGUUUGCCAAACUCACCCAAACCUGUGAUAGGAAGAGAUGGACUGGAGUCUCUGCUCCCCUGGGCAGUUGUCCUGCAUGAUCUGGGAGCCUCUGGGAUUAGACUGGACUGGGCAGACAGGGAGCAGUUUGUCCUGUGGAGUUGGGAUGGGUUAGUUCAGGAUGCCUUGGGAGGCAGGGCUGGAGAGGCUCCUCUGUUGGCUGUGGUGGUGGAAGGUUGUAGCAGCAGGGCUGGAGCCCUUCGCCCUCCUGCUCCCCCCGUGAGCCCCGCCGGGCCCGUGCCCUUGGCAAUGGAGGGCCCCCCAUUGCUGAGUCAGCGGUUCCGGGGCCAGGAGGGAUGGGAUCAGGAUGCCGAGCUCCACCCAGGGCCAGGGCUGCCAAUGUUCAACCAUGGAGAGAACUGAGAGCAGAGUGAGAUGGAGGCCAAGCUCCAGCACAGGGAUGGGUGAGAAAAGACCCUGGUCCUCAGGUGGAGCUUUGAAUUCCCUGGAAAAAUGGAUCCUGUCAGAUGGUUCAGGCCCUCGUGGGUGCUGGAGCAGAGGCCUCUGUGAUUUAUGGUCACCCUGAAAGGUUGCAAGGACAGCAAGUUCUGACUGCAGGAUGAGGUGGGAAACAAAGUGAAGUGGUCCAGAGACAAGCUGAGCUUAAAAUUGGUCCUGUGCCAGAGCAGCCUCGUGCAGUGCUUGUUGCUGUCCCUGAGUGUCCCACUGCAGUGGAUAUUUCCAAGGGUGCCUUGUGCUGGGGAACACUGGGGGCAGUUCCCUUUCCCUGGGCAGGGCAGGCAGGGCACGUUUCCCCCCUCGAGGGUGGCUCCACAGUCCCCCCCUGUGCCCUGGGAGCGUGGCAGAACACCUGGAGCCACUGUCCUUGUCAGAGAGGGCAAAGGGAUGGUUGGAUGGGUGAGGGAAUGGGUCAGGGAGUACAAGCACCAUUAGAGUGAGUAGUGCAGCACAUGGAAAGGAAGGGGGGAGUUAAUCCAGACAAAAUCCAAGCACCUGCCCAACCUGUGAUAUUUUUAGGAACUCAGUGGUGCUGUGGUGCCCAGGAUUAGGCAGGAGACUUCAGGCUUGGUCACCCCCAGAGCAAGUCUCCAGGGGCAGGCAGUGGGGAGGCAGCUCUGCUGUUGAGGAUGGGGUUAUUUUCUCUGCUUUAUUUUGUCUCCAGAGAUAUUCUGCCCAUUAAUCCAAACUGACUCUGUCUCCUAACUGUCUGAAGAGGUUUUCUGCUUUUUGUGGGAGGGUGAGGUUUGGAUUCUAACUAUAGAAGAGCCAACAAAAUAAAGGCUUCAUGGCAAAGAAAUGGUGUCUCCCAAACUCUUUGUACUUCAAAUAGAUGCCUUUAUUCUUAUUUUUUUCUUAUUGGUAUUCUCAAGGUGUUUAAUACCCUGUCUACAGUUAUUUAUUUUGGCUUCUCUUUUUUAUUUGUUACAAAGUUGAUGUGACUGACUUCUUUUUGCAAUCCAGCAGUGCUCUCAAGGGUAUUUCCCCCCCACUCCUGGGCUUGUGCAGGGCUGUUGAGUCCGUGUGUGCCGCUGUCAGCUUUGCUUCUCUGUUUGCUUGGUUGGCUCCUGUUAGGAGAAGGGACUGUCCUGGUGGGGAUAAUCCAGAACUGCAGCUUUGAUGUUUAAAAAGGAGCCUGUGGUACUUCUUGUUUCCUGUGCUGGGCUUUCCUUUAACAGUGCCCAGGGAGGGGAGCAGCAACAGCUUCACUUGGAAGUGGACUCUGGUUUUUGAGAACAUCCUAAGCUCAGUGUGGUUUUGGUAUCACUAAGUACUUAUUUUAUUUGCCAUUUGUCUUAAAUUGUAUACACCUUUGAAGUGCCAGCUGUGUUUUGAAGACAUUCUUACAGUUGUUUCAAGUGAAAUUUGGAAUGUUACAAAUUUAGAAAGAGAUGAUUUUUAUGUGAAUAAACUACUAAAACAAAGGGGGGAGUGAGGAAAGCCAAGUUCAGGAGAUAACCUUAUGAACUGGUUUGGGAAGUUGUUUACCUAAAUAGCCCAAAUUGGUUUGAGCUGCAGCACAAACAGGGGGGAGAAGGAGAGGUUUUGUAUUUUGACAGUUCUUGAAGUUUUUUGCAGGGACUACUGCCAGGUUCUCUUUGAAGUCCAAACCCCAUUAGCAUGGGGAAAUGUUUGUUUGGCUUUAGAAAUAGGAGUGUAUAUUUCCCUUUGAACUAGAGGAAUGUUUCUAUGUCUUUGAAUUUUAAAUUGCACAUGAAGCAGAAAUAUGUUUGUGUUUUACAGGUGAUACUGUCAUGAAAAUAGAAAUGCAUCAUUGGAUCUUACUCCUCUGAGGGCAAACCACCAGCCUGCUCAUUUCUGAGUCCCUCAAACCCAGUGCCAUGAGCUCAGAGGGGUGUUUGGGUGCAAAUGUGCUGAGUGGUGGUGGCCCCGUGAGAUGUGAGCAGCUGGAAAUGUGUGUGUGUGUGUGUGCAGAGCUGGGCUGGAGCCCUUGGGAUUUGGCUCCCAGAUCCCCCCCAGCCUUCAGGAAAACCAGAGGCCACCGAACCGUGAGGGAAGGGAGUCCCAUCUGCAGAAGGGUUUUUAGGUUGGGGAAAAGCUCCAGAACAAAGCCUGGGUUCCAAACACCUUCAGCAAAAGUCAAGGAGCACAGACCCUGAAGUCAUCAAGUUAUGAAGUUUGGUUCAAACCAUUUGCUUCUCAGUCAGUUUUACUGAAGUGUUAAAAGGAGAACUUAAAUAAGGUUAAUUUCUGAUGGAGAAUAGUGGGAAGAAGUGAAGUGGUUUAAGUUCAUUAAACAUGUUUUAUAUCAGUCCAUGGUUAUUUAAUUGAGCAUUGUUUGGAAUUUUUCUUUUUGCAUUUGUUCCUUGUGUGCUUUUCUCUAUCUAAGGGAUGGUUGGAGGUCUUUCUGAUUGGUUGGAUGUUUUUAAUGUCAGUGCUAGACUGGGGUGGACAGUCAUUGUAACAUGAUUUAGAGUUUGAUGCAUUUUA